UGCCUACGGGGGGCAGCAGUGGGGAAUAUUGGACAAUGGGGGGAACCCUGAUCCAGCGACGCCGCGUGAGUGAAGAAGUAUUUCGGUAUGUAAAGCUCUAUCAGCAGGGAAGAAGAAAGACGGUACCUGACUAAGAAGCCCCGGCUAACUACGUGCCAGCAGCCGCGGUAAUACGUAGGGGGCAAGCGUUAUCCGGAUUUACUGGGUGUAAAGGGAGCGUAGACGGCAUAGCAAGUCUGAAGUGAAAGCCCGUGGCUCAACCGCGGAACUGCUUUGGAAACUGUUAAGCUGGAGUACUGGAGAGG
rnacentral:rRNA from 1 species